AUACGUAGGGUGCGAGCGUUAAUCGGAAUUACUGGGCGUAAAGCGCGCGUAGGCGGUUUGUCAAGUCGGAUGUGAAAUCCCCGGGCUCAACCUGGGACCUGCAUCCGAUACUGGCAGGCUAGAGUCUGGUAGAGGGGGGUAGAAUUCCUGGUGUAGCGGUGAAAUGCGUAGAUAUCAGGAGGAAUACCAGUGGCGAAGGCGGCCCCCUGGACUGAGACUGACGCUGAGGUGCGAAAGCGUGGGGAGCGAACAGGAUUAGAAACCCUAGUAGUCC
rnacentral:rRNA from 1 species